GUUUGGGUACUGACUUGAUUUAUGGCAUAUUUUCUCCCCUUUGAUCAAUUUAUAAAUCAUUUAAUAACUAAGUUUAAAAUAUUAUGUGUAGGUCCGUUAAUGUCAUAUACAUCUCAACGCAUCUUCAUAUAUAUGCAUUCCUAACUUUCAAAUGUUUAACUUUAUGGCGUUCCUAAUGAAGGUCAAUCCGAAAGUUUACUAUGUGGCGUUCCUGAUGAAGGUCAAUCCGAAAGUUUACUUUAUGGCUUAUCUGAUGAAGGUUGAUCCGAAAGUUUACUUUGUGGCGUUCCUGAUGAAGGUCAAUCCGAAAGUUUACUUUGUGGCGUUCCUGAUGAAGAUCAAACCGAAAGUUUACUUUAUG
rnacentral:lncRNA from 1 species